UACAGAGGGGGCAAGCGUUGUUCGGAAUUACUGGGCGUAAAGGGCGCGUAGGCGCCUUCUAAGUCGAACGUGAAAUCCCCGGGCUCAACCCGGGAACUGCGUCCGAUACUGGAAGGCUUGAAUCCGGGAGAGGGAUGUGGAAUUCCAGGUGUAGCGGUGAAAUGCGUAGAUAUCUGGAGGAACACCGGUGGCGAAGGCGAACAUCCUGGACCGGUAUUGACGCUGACGGCGCGAAGGCGUGGGGAGCGAACGGG
rnacentral:rRNA from 1 species